UAGUCCACGCUGUAAACGAUGAGCACUAGUCUUUGUGGGUAUUAACCCCUGCAGAGACGCAGCUAACGCAUUAAGUGCUCCGCCUGGGGAGUACGGUCGCAAGACUAAAACUCAAAGGAAUUGACGGGGGCCCGCACAAGCGGUGGAUCAUGUGGUUUAAUUCGAAGUUACGCGCAAAACCUUACCUGGAUUUGAAAUCCCACGACGAGAUAAGAAAUUAUCUUUUGCUCUUCGGAGAAUGUGGUGACAGGUGCUGCAUGGCUGUCGUCAGCUCGUGUUGUGAAAUGUUGGGUUAAGUCCCGCAACGAGCGCAACCCUUAUCUUUAGUUGCCUUAUGGAACUCUAAAAAGACUGCCGGUUAUAAACCCGGAGGAAGGCGGGGACGACGUCAAGUCAGCAUGCCCCUUACACCCUGGGCUACACACGUGCUACAAUGGACGAGACAAUGAGAUGCAAAUCUGCGAAGGCUAGCUAAUCUAUAAACUCGUUCUAAGUUCGGAUUGCAGGCUGCAA
rnacentral:rRNA from 1 species